CCUACGGGAGGCAGCAGUGAGGAAUAUUGGUCAAUGGUCGGGAGACUGAACCAGCCAAGCCGCGUGAGGGAGGAAGGUACAGAGUAUCGUAAACCUCUUUUGUCAGGGAACAAAGGCGGUGACGUUUCCCCGGAUGAGUGUACCUGAAGAAAAAGCAUCGGCUAACUCCGUGCCAGCAGCCGCGGUAAUACGGAGGAUGCGAGCGUUAUCCGGAUUUAUUGGGUUUAAAGGGUGCGCGGGCGGUCUGUUAAGUCAGCGGUCAAAGCCCGGGGCUCAACCCCGGCCCGCCGUUGAUACUGGCAGGCUCGAGUUGGAGAGAAGUAUGCGGAAUGCGCGGUGUAGCGGUGAAAUGCAUAGAUAUCGCGCAGAACUCCGAUUGCGAAGGCAGCAUGCCGGCUCCACACUGACGCUGAGGCACGAAAGCGUGGGUAUCGAACAGGAUUAGAUACCCUUGUAGUC
rnacentral:rRNA from 1 species